UACGGGAGGCAGCAGUGAGGAAUAUUGGUCAAUGGGCGGAAGCCUGAACCAGCCAAGUAGCGUGAAGGAUGACGGCCCUACGGGUUGUAAACUUCUUUUUCCGGGGAAUAACCGCCGCUACGUGUAGCGGUCUGCAUGUAGCCCGGUGAAUAAGGACCGGCUAAUUCCGUGCCAGCAGCCCGCGGUAAU
rnacentral:rRNA from 1 species